rnacentral:rRNA from 1 species
GAUGAACGCUGGCGGCGUGCCUAAUACAUGCAAGUCGAGCGAACAGACGAUGAGCUUGCUCCUCUGACGUUAGCGGCGGACGGGUGAGUAACACGUGGAUAACCUACCUAUAAGACUGGGAUAACUUCGGGAAACCGGAGCUAAUACCGGAUAAUAUAUUGAACCGCAUGGUUCAAUAGUGAAAGACGGUUUUGCUGUCACUUAUAGAUGGAUCCGCGCCGCAUUAGCUAGUUGGUAAGGUAACGGCUUACCAAGGCAACGAUGCGUAGCCGACCUGAGAGGGUGAUCGGCCACACUGGAACUGAGACACGGUCCAGACUCCUACGGGAGGCAGCAGUAGGGAAUCUUCCGCAAUGGGCGCAAGCCUGACGGAGCAACGCCGCGUGAGUGAUGAAGGUCUUCGGAUCGUAAAACUCUGUUAUUAGGGAAGAACAAAUGUGUAAGUAACUAUGCACGUCUUGACGGUACCUAAUCAGAAAGCCACGGCUAACUACGUG